UUUUGGGAAUGAAAUCUAAUGUUGAAAUGCGGCAAUAAUAUUUUUAUCCACCAGCCCAUUUGCAAACAAAUUUCCUAAUAACUGUAUACAGUUGUACUAAAUUAAAGGAAUCGGUAUCUGCCAAAACCUGCCUAUAAUAUACAAUCGCCUACAAGCAAAACCUAAUACACAUGCACCUUCUCCAAAACUCGGUAUCUCGAGGGGUAAAAUGAAUCCAGUACUCAACCAUCGUUGAAUUUAGGUAUCCUUUGACAUCUAUGUUGAUCGGGUAUCCAAUUUAACUGCAAUGACACUUGCCUUCUGUUUUAAAUGAACAUCUCAUGAGAUGCUCAUGUAAGAGUUGCAAAUAGAUGGCAGCUCACUCCUUCAAUCUACAGAGGAUCAAUAGAACCACUUUUAAGUCUCUCCAUUCGGGCUUGAAGCCCUGAUAAUGCCUUCUCAUCCAUAGGAAGAACCCCUCCCUGUACAGGAUUUUCCAUGCCAACAGAGUCUGACCCACGGGGAGCCUGACCAGAGAAUCCAUUGUUGAAGUUGUCAUUCAGACUUGUCAAUGGCCUACUUCCAGAAUCUGGAUUUCCUGCAGAGGCAGCUAACUGCAUACUCUUCAUCCUUUCUCUAAUUGCAUCUAGCGUUCCACUGGUUACUCCACUAAUAAACUUCUCAUUUCUUUGGUCCCCAAAAGAAUUCUCAGACAUGAGACCUCUUGACAUAAUGGUAUUACCAGUUCUGUUGUCUUCAGUGUAAGAGGGCGGUAGAUGAAAGUUUGUUGGUUCAGAUUUCACAUUCAAUGAUUUUGCAUCGUUUAAAGAGUUUGUAUGAACUGGAGACAGUGGGGCGAAUUCUGGGGACGAAACUGUUAGAGCUGAUGGUGGGGGGGUUGACAUUGGCAAACUAGAAGGCGUCCUUCCAGCAGCAGCAUUUUUCUCCAUCUGUGCUAAACCAUCUCUAAUGUAAGUCCGGAAUGCCUCACUAGCAUUUUGGAGCUGAGCAAAUAUAUCAACCUUGGGGUAUAAUUGUGUAAUGCGAUAAAGUUCAUAUAGGCCAAUCGUACAUGUUUGCUUGUCCCCAAUUUUCUUGAAUAUGGCAGCAAGUUCUUGCUUCAACUGGGAAUCAGCAGAAUGUGUGGCAGAUGAUGAAUUGUUGGCUGCAGAAUCACCCCAAUGGGUUUGGCC
rnacentral:misc_RNA from 1 species